GGGCCAACCACCCCACCCCACAAACAUCUCUAUUGGCCUCUUCUUCCACCUCUUUCGCUUUCUCUCUCUUCAGUGUCAGAUUCAGUGCCUUAUUAUUUUAUCAAAAUUUCAUCAAUUCUUAAUCAUUUCCUUUCAGAUUUGGUUUUACCAGAAUAUUGGACUCAUUUUCUUGUUUCUGUGGUUAAGAAAAGGAAGAAGGAAGAAGGAGGAGUUUGAGCAUGGCCAUGGCUGCGAAAAUGGGUUCCUUCAGGUACACUUUUGCAGAGAAGAGGGAGAGGUUGCUUUCUACAAAGGGUUAUUCAGAGAUUGGCUUUCCCAAUAUUUAUGAGGAAGAAUAUGCCCCCAGAAAUUGCUGUAGCUAUCGCUUCUUAUGCGAUAAAAUUGUUGGAUUCUGUGAAAGCGUGCAGGAUGUUGCCAAAAAGGCCUACGAGAUGGGUAGGUCUGAUCCCAGAAAGAUUGUGUUCGCGGUAAAGAUAGGUUUGGCUUUGAUGCUCAUUUCUUUAAUGAUUUUCUUGAAAGAGCCGAUUAAAGAACUCAGUCGGUACUCCGUGUGGGCUGUUCUUACCGUUGUGGUUGUCUUCGAAUUCAGUAUAGGAGCUACUCUUAGCAAAGGCUUUAAUCGUGGGCUUGGGACAUUAUCAGCUGGAGGCCUUGCUCUAGGCAUGGCAGAGUUGGCUCAAUUAGCUGGAAAAUGGGAAGAAGUUUUUAUUAUUCUUAGUAUCUUCUUGAUAGGAUUUUGUGCAUCUUAUGCAAAACUGUACCCAACAAUGAAGCCUUACGAAUAUGGAUUUCGAGUGUUCUUGUUGACAUAUUGUAUGGUCAUGGUGUCUGGAUAUAGGACCAGGGAAUUUAUCCAUACAGCCAUUAUACGGUUUGUGCUUAUUGCACUGGGUGCUGGUGUCUGUUUGGCAAUAAAUAUAUGCAUUUAUCCUAUCUGGGCUGGCGAGGAUUUGCACAACUUGGUGGUAAAAAAUUUCAUGAAUGUGGCAACUUCUUUGGAAGGUUAAGUUGCUAUGUUUUCUUUUACUUACUAUAUCAUACAUAUGAUUGAAUUUUGAAGAGUUCAUUUCAAAGGUCUGGUCAUUUUUUCUUUAUUUUUCAUGCUUGACUAAUUUGUAUGACUUUAUAUUCAGGCUGUGUUAAUGGAUACCUGAAUUGUGUUGAAUAUGAAAGGAUCCCUUCCAAAAUCCUUACUUAUCAAGCCUCUGAUGACCCACUUUACAGUGGCUACAGGUCGGCUGUGGAAUCUACAAGCCAAGAGGAUACACUGAUGGGUUUUGCUAUUUGGGAGCCACCUCAUGGUCCUUAU
rnacentral:misc_RNA from 1 species